ACGCUGGCGGCGUGCUUAACACAUGCAAGUCGAACGAGAAGAGAUGAGAAGCUUGCUUCUUAUCGAUUCGAGUGGCAAACGGGUGAGUAACGCGUAAGCAACCUGCCUUCAGGAUGGGGACAACAGACGGAAACGACUGCUAAUACCGAAUACGUUCCUUAGGUCGCAUGACUUUAGGAAGAAAGGGUGGCCUCUACUUGUAAGCUAUCGCCUGAAGAGGGGUUUGCGUCUGAUUAGGUAGUUGGUGGGGCAACGGCCUACCAAGGCGACGAUCAGUAGCCGGUCUGAGAGGAUGAACGGCCACAUUGGAACUGAGACACGGUCCAGACUCCUACGGGAGGCAGCAGUGGGGAAUCUUCCGCAAUGGGCGAAAGCCUGACGGAGCAACGCCGCGUGAGUGAAGAAGGUCUUCGGAUCGUAAAGCUCUGUUGUCGGGGACGAAUGUUGAGACCUAGAACAUAAGUUUCAAAUGACGGUACCUGACGAGGAAGCCACGGCUAACUACGUG
rnacentral:rRNA from 1 species